CCAAAGCGGGCAGUGUCGCUAGCUGUCCAGCCUGCUGUGGAAGGGUUCCCCCGUCGUGGUGGCCGGAGCCACCCCUGAGCCAGCACCAGCCACUGGCAGGGACCCAGCACGGAAGGCGGAGCUCAGGGUCACACUGUGCCGCAGGAGGAGGAGCUGGGGGUGUGUGGCCACAAUGUCAGCGCUGCUGGGGGGGCCAGGCAGGAUGUCAGGCGGUGGGCGUGACAGCGCCCGCCCUCGCCUCCCUGCCAGAGUGGCAGGCAGCCCCUUCUUUUUGCUGCAGCCAUGUCCCCUGUCCUCCCCUCAGGAGUGCUGACCUGCAGUGCCCACCACCUGCAGCCGCCCGAAAUGCAGGCCUAAGACGGAACUCGGGAAAAGGACGAGGCACCCUCUUGUGCCUCAGAGCACGUGAUUUGUGGGAAAUCUGUCCCUGGCGCUAGGAGGGCCUCUCCUGGUGCCUUCUGCUCCGUGACGGAGGGGACAGCCGGCUAAAGCUUCCACUCUGCAGCCCUGCUCAGCAGGCCUCGGUGCUGGACAUCUUGAUGCCCGAGGGGCCUCCCUCCCCUCCCCAGACUGAGCUGAGAAAGCACCCCUCCCUGGACCUCGGGUUCAGCCUGGCCUGAAACCGGAAGGAGGGAGGCUGGCCGUGGUCUUGACCAAAGGCCCCUCGUCCCUCCUGCGACUGAGUCCAGGAUCCCAGAGAACUGUGCUUCCUGCCAGGCCAAGCGGGCAGCAGUCAGUAGUGAAGGACUGGGAGGAGCAGAAGGGUCCCAGCUCCAGGCCGUUCAGGGUGACGGUGGCACUGGGGAGCCCAGGUGGCCUCUGCAGACAUCUCCUGGGACCUACCCCUCGUCCCCUAAGCUGGUACCUCGGACUGCGCGGCCCUGGUUCAGGGGGAGGAGACGAGAUGCCUCUUUCGACAUUGGUUCUAAAACACGUUCCUGUUUCAGAAACACUGGAGUGUGAAUUAUAUACCGUGGCCAGUGUGGGCUCAGAGGGGACGUUCUGGACGUAGGUUUCAGCUGGAGGGAAGUGGGCUAAGAGAAAAGGCUCCACUCUACCCAGAAGGGGCCCAAGAUGGGUACUCGGACGCAGGGAGAGACAUCCAGGAACCCCGGGAAGGCCGGCAAGUGUGGGCACAGGUCCUGGGGUUCUGAGCACCUUGGGUUUUCUUCUUGGUGUUGUUCUGUUUCUGAUUUCCUGAGGUUGUACCCGGACAACUAACACAACAGUAGCUGCCAGCAUCUUCCCACAUCAGCACUUCACACUUUGAGCCUCCCAAGAGCCCACUGGGACAGGAACGCUGGGGAUCGCCAUUUGCAGACUAGAAGUCUGAGGCUCAGAGAGAUGGACCAAUUUUCCCAGGGCCACACAGCUAUCUCUGGUGGAGCUGGGAUCAAACCCUUCAUUCUGACCCCAGAACAGAGGUGAUUUUUAAGACCACGGGUGAGUUUAACUCAAAGGAGCAAGAGAGCAUCCAAGGGAGGUGCUGCUCUUGGUCGUGUUGACCACAGUGCCUGCCCCAACCCUCACCCCACCCCAGAGACCUAGGG
rnacentral:lncRNA from 1 species